CGGGUGAGUAAUGUGUAGGAAUCUACCUAGUAGUAUGGAAUAGCCAUUAGAAAUGAUGGGUAAUACUGUAUAAUCCCUGCGGGGGAAAGAUUUAUCGCUAUUAGAUGAGCCUACGUUAGAUUAGCUAGUUGGUAAGGUAAUGGCUUACCAAGGCUAUGAUCUAUAGCUGGUCUGAGAGGACGAUCAGCCACACUGGAACUGAGAUACGGUCCAGACUCCUACGGGAGGCAGCAGUGGGGAAUAUUGGACAAUGGGCGAAAGCCUGAUCCAGCUAUGCCGCGUGAGUGAGGAAGGCCUUCGGGUUGUAAAGCUCUUUCAAUAGGGAAGAUAAUGACGGUACCUAUAGAAGAAGUCCCGGCAAACUCCGUGCCAGCAGCCGCGGUAAUACGGAGGGGGCAAGCGUUGUUCGGAAUUAUUGGGCGUAAAGGGCACGUAGGUGGACUAGUAAGUUAAAAGUGAAAUACCAAAGCUCAACUU
rnacentral:rRNA from 1 species